GAUGGGGACGGUAAAAAAAGCAAAUGAUUCUAAAGCUGGUUGCAUAAGGGACCUUUGAAGGUAAAGACUAAUCCCUCCUCCCAAAUUCAGUGAAGAACAAGAGACCUGUGAAACACUGGCAUUGCUGGAGGUAGCAGUAGAUCGUGUGUGAUUAAGUACUGAUAGGAGAUCAAAGGACGGAUGAUGAGCUCUUCCCCUGAGGUUUGUCAUCCCCGAAGAGAAGAAACCACCCAUAC